CCCGCAGUUCCUCGCGACACAAAGAAGGAAACUGAAAAACGUAAAAGAAACCGCAAUAACAAUUUUAAAACGUGCAGGACUUACGCGCCCUUUUCCGCCUGUCAUUCCGACAGCGUACGUACCUGUCCCUCUUGCAAAUUUGAUUUCUCGUACACGUAACAGACGUGGACGAUGCCGGAACGUCAUACUCUCCCCCCGUCUUCAAUAUGGAUUUUUACCGCGAUAGGUCGCAAACGGUGUGUCAGUAGGAAGCCGUAAGAAGGCGCUGCACCCUUGAUUGUGAGACAAUAUAGGAGGCGGAUGAAGCCAGCAAAAAAAGAAAAAAAAAAGGCUUGUUUAGUGCUUCCCCCUGGAAUCAUGCUAGCAAUGUGAAACAUCACGGAUCUUGGAUUCCUCAUUUUAUGUGCUACAACGCGCAAGUCCCCCAUAUAGCGACUUCGACCACAGCCUACAAGUCCAUGCUGUCUCCUUGCAAACACAGUGCCUGUCAAAAGGAGAUAGAGAUUUCCCGCUUGCGUGCUUCGACACCAACGGCUGUCAUUUACCCCAGCGGAGAGGAACAGCCCCAGCACAGGGGCACCAACACCACACUCGACAACGAAAGCACAGAAGAUUGGCCUGUGCAAACACGGCUCGCAACGCUCCGUGACGGUCGGCUGGACAAACUAAAUACUGGCACAGAUGAUCAAGCGGCGGAGGUUAAGGAAAACAAGACCACAACUGGAGUGCCUAGAGAGAUUGUGGGCCGAGACACAGGCAGACCAAUGGCGAACAACAUCACGCAAAAGAAAAGUACACACAAGAUACUGAGAGCUUAUUUACGCAGCAGUGAAGUGGCCAAGAAAAGAGAAGAAAAGCACACCAGAGGCUACUCAAGAAAA